GAUGACAGCCACAGAAUGAGUUUAGAGCUCAGAAUGACAGGCGGCACUUUCAUAAUACAUGACAAUACCACUAGUGGGAAUGCAGAUCUUAGGCAGUGUAUAAAGCCUGAAGAGACUUGUGUGAUGUUACCCCGCAGAACAUCCAGUUAUUCCUUGGAUUCCUUAUUCAUGAAAAACUUGGUGAUCCUCGAACAACAAGAGCUCUACCUGACUGGAAUUCCUAGUGCUCCCAGCUGAAGGUGUGGUGUAUGUGAUGCUUGAAAUUAAACUGUAAAAACCUGACUUCAGCAUGAAUGGGGAUGGAGAAGAGAUGGCAGGAUAUUGCUUGUCAUGCUUAUGUUACUGAAAGCACACAAUUUCCUUCAAAUGAAAACACAGGGGUUUCAGCCCUGCAGAUAUUAGUAUCAUGUUGGAGCCUGCCUUCAUUUUGGGCCCCCACUUUGAGAUCAACUCAGACACCAGCUUUGAUAAGAACCACAUCUCUAAGAUGAGGUCUGUAUUCCAUCUAUAUUGUAUAAACAUGCUUUGAACAUUUUGCAACAGCAGAGAGCUUAAAAAAGAAACAGAAAACAAUUAAACUUACUCUAAGUUGAUAGGAUCUCAGUUCAUAAAUAUUAGGCCCCGCUCUGGGAACAGGUUCAUUCCAGAAACUAAACUCCAACAACAACUGGUUCUUGCGGGACAGGAGCAUGUUACCUCUUUCUUUGCGGAACUCUGUGAAUUCCUAAAAACCAAUGGGAUCACUGUCAAUGUGUGUGUUCUGUUUCAACAACAAAAAGCAGUCUACCAUG